rnacentral:rRNA from 1 species
UAUGGUGCUGGGAGCGGCGAACGGCUGCGUAACACGUGGAUUACCUGCCCCGAACUCAGGGAUAACCAUCCGAAAGGGUGGCUAAUACCGGAUAGUCUCGAAAGAGUAAAGCUUUCGCGGUUCGGGAGGGGUCUGCGGCCUAUCAGCUAGUUGGUAAGGUAACGGCUUACCAAGGCUAUGACGGGUAGCUGGUUUGAGAGAACGACCAGCCAGAAUGGAACUGAGACACGGUCCAU